rnacentral:rRNA from 1 species
GAUGAACGCUGGCGGCGUGCCUAAUACAUGCAAGUCGAGCGAACAGACGAGGAGCUUGCUUCUCUGACGUUAGCGGCGGACGGGUGAGUAACACGUGGAUAACCUACCUAUAAGACUGGGAUAACUUCGGGAAACCGGAGCUAAUACCGGAUAAUAUUUUGAACCGCAUGGUUCAAUAGUGAAAGACGGUUUUGCUGUCACUUAUAGAUGGAUCCGCGCCGCAUUAGCUAGUUGGUAAGGUAACGGCUUACCAAGGCGACGAUGCGUAGCCGACCUGAGAGGGUGAUCGGCCACACUGGAACUGAGACACGGUCCAGACUCCUACGGGAGGCAGCAGUAGGGAAUCUUCCGCAAUGGGCGAAAGCCUGACGGAGCAACGCCGCGUGAGUGAUGAAGGUCUUCGGAUCGUAAAACUCUGUUAUUAGGGAAGAACAAAUGUGUAAGUAACUGUGCACGUCUUGACGGUACCUAAUCAGAAAGCCACGGCUAACUACGUG